GACGGAGGGUGCAAGCGUUGUUCGGAUUGACUGGGCGUAAAGGGCGUGUAGGCGGUUGGUCAAGUCGGGUGUGAAAGCCUGGAGCUCAGCUCCAGAAGUGCAUCCGAAACUAGCCAGCUAGAGCGCGAUAGAGGAGGGUGGAAUUCCUGGUGUAGCGGUGAAAUGCGUAGAUAUCAGGAGGAACACCGGCGGCGAAGGCGGCCCUCUGGGUCGUUGCUGACGCUGAGACGCGAAAGCGUGGGGAGCAAACAGG
rnacentral:rRNA from 1 species